AGAAAUACAUGUUGGAGAAAUAGUUUUUCUAAAAUUGUUCUUGAAAAUGCAUCGUUUAUAAUUUCUAAAAGAGAUUACUGCAUCUAAAGGAGACACAUUGCAUCAGUCAAGAUAACCUGUGAGCAGAUUUUGCCUCUAUAAAACAAGGCUUCAGAGGACACACGCAUGGUACUUAUGGUUAUUACCCAUCUUGAGCAGCUCAGUCAUCUACCAAAUCUCAUGUUUUUGUUUUGGCAGCAGGCAGAUACUAUAGUAUGGGCUAAGAAGGAGGCCUUCAGUAGAUGGUCUAGGGUGAAAUCAUUCCUUUCUCAAGUGGCUAUGAACUUGUCCUCCCUCUUGAGGAGAAAGUAUAGAAAUUAUCUUUCAUCUAGAAAUGAUUUGCAACUACGCUGUUAGCUGGGCAUGCAAACUUUAUGCAUAUUCCAAUCACAGUAUGUAAACUUUAUGGAAUGUGUUUAACUGAGAAUCAGCUCUUCAGUAACUUACUACAGUGAAAAUCUUUCAAGUAGAGAGAAGUAAUAUUAAAACAUGGUCAGGUUGUCUCUAACCUCCCUCUCCCCAUAAAGAAAAAAAAUUAACACUUAAAAAAUUCCCACUUCAGGUAGUAUGUCUAUUGAAAUGUUUUUCUUUUAUAGGAACAAGACCCUGGGGCAUUUGGAGAAGAGUUCGCAGCAAUUUCCCGUUCUGCGUUAAGGAUUAAAUACUUAUUGCUGCCUUAUUUGUACACCCUUUCCUUCCAUUCUCAUGUCAGUGGAAGUACAGUAGUCUGAAGUUUGAUGCAUGAGUAUAUAACAUUUAAUAAUCGUUCUAGUCUUGGAUCUUCUGCCAUACAGAUCCUAGAAGCCUGGGCUCUCCUACUGAAGGAGAGGCUGAGGGCACGUAUGCAGGAGAGUGGGCAGGACGGAUGUCCCGACGAUGAUUUGCUAACAAAUCUGUGCAAACUCUUGGAACCAAAUGGCAGGAUUCCCGGAGGUAAAAGUAUUUUCAGAGUGCCGAUACAUUAUUUUGGGGAUAAAGAAAUAGGCAAAUCUGUUCCCCCCACACCCCGACUGUGAUUAGAAAUAAUUUACAAAUUUGAAUAUUUAGUUAAAGAAAAACUUUCAAUCAGUUAGCAGAAGGCAAAGGCUGUGUCUUGUCUGAAGAUGUGGAAUUUAGACAAAGGAUGAAACAUGGUCCCUGCCCACAGAGAACCAGCAAGAUCACAAGGGACAGAUUUGAAAGAAAUUGAGUAUGAUAUGGGACAUCGUGUAUUUAUAUCCUGAUUGUGUGGCCUUGGGUAAAGCACAGGAACAAUUCGAAGAAAGGCAAGGUCAGUGUGACAUGAAAUAGGGACAGCCCUGCGAAGGAGGUGGGAUUAACAGUGCAUCUUUGAAUGCAAAAAAGAAUGACAAAAUCUUAGGCUUCUGAUUACUUGGCACAGUUUUGACCUUAGCUUUAGUGCCCGGUUAUCUUUUCUUCAGGGAAGAGAACCGAUCCCAGUGCUUCACUUGCUAAUUAGAUUUUUAUUCCUAAACCACUGCUUAUACUCUAAACUUUUCCCUGUUUUUAUCUUUUUGGUCUUGCUGCUGAUCACCAUAAACCUGAGGUGGCUGAGUUCAAUGGUUCAUACAAAGGCAUUACUUUGAUGAGAUUAGUGGUUUUUCACUGUAAAAAUCUAAGUUUACAUCGGAUCCUCAGGCUCAUCAAAUUAACAAGGCACUCCUUUGGGGGCCGGCUGUCAUGAUUACUCCAGUCCUUAAAGAGCCAUCUGAAUCCUUUCUGCCUAGAUGAACAGAGAGAAGAGAGAAGCAUCUGGCUCCUUUUUCUGGGAUUCUGGUGAUGCUGUUGGUUCUUUUGAAAAGGAAGAAUACGUCUAUGGUGGAUGCAAAUUCAAUAAUGU